rnacentral:rRNA from 1 species
GAUCAUGGCUCAGGAUGAACGCUAGCUACAGGCUUAACACAUGCAAGUCGAGGGGAAACGAUAGAGAAAGCUUGCUUUUUCUAGGCGUCGACCGGCGCACGGGUGAGUAACGCGUAUCCAACCUGCCCACCACUUGGGGAUAACCUUCGCGAAAGUAAGACUAAUACCCAAUGAUAUCUCUAGAAGACAUCUGAAGGAGAUUAAAGAUUCAUCGGUGAUGGAUGGGGAUGCGU